UUGACUCUUAGUCAAUGGGUCUUAAAUUAUUCUUGAAGGUCCUUGAGAAUAUGUUUUAUGUAAAUUAUGUGCUCUAUUGGUAAGAACUUUGAGACGUGAUUUGAUAAUUGGCCGCAUACGAUGAUAGUUCAUGAUGUCUUGAUGUUCAUACGAGGGAGUUGUAGCGCGGACCUAAGGUGAGUAGGUCUUUUCUCUUCUAUCAUAUAUAUACGUAUAUAAGAUUAACAUCUCCACAAACGUUUAUAAAUUGAUUAUUUCAUAUAAUUACUGUGAAUGCUUUGAAUUACUAAUGUGAACUACGGAUGGCUUGAUCCCUGUUUAGGGUACGUAGGCAGUCUAACGAGACGUUAAAUGCAGCCAUACAAUAAUUGAGACAAUAGCCUUGUUUAGGGAAUUGAGUAGUGUGAGAGACAUUGGUGGAAAAUAUGAGAUUUAACCUUAUGAUUUGGUGGUUAAAUAUUGGUCAUAAAUCAAUGUGUAAAGAAUCAAGAAUUUGAAGUAAAGAAGCGUAAGUAAUGAUAAUUAAUUAAACUAGUGUCUAGUUGGGCUUGUCACCGAUAAUUAUUCUCGAAAAUAAAUAAUUCGGGAGUAGGGUGUUAUAGUUCAUGCAUUUUUAUGCCACAUUAUAUAUAUAUAUA
rnacentral:lncRNA from 1 species